CGUUCGCCAGACUCCGCCGGCCGCAGUAUCGCCGCACGCUCCACGCCGACCAGCAGCCGCGCCAUGCCUCCGGACUCCAAGACUCUGCUGUUCUUCGCGGUCUGUUUGGUGACAGCAGUGGCCAAACCUCCACCUGGAUACGUGAAGAAGCCGGACCAAGAUGAGCACCCGCCGCGCUACGAGUUCGGC